GUAGGGAAUAUUGCGCAAUGGGGGAAACCCUGACGCAGCGACGCCGCGUGAGUGAUGAAGGCCUUCGGGUCGUAAAGCUCUGUUGCAGGGGAAUAAAAAAAUGAAGGUACCCUGUGAGGAAGGAUCGGCUAACUUCGUGCCAGCAGCCGCGGUAAGACGAGGGAUCCUAGCGUGGCUCGGAAUCAUUGGGCGUAAAGAGGGCGUAGGUGGCUUGGUAAGUCAGGUGUGAAAGCCCAGGGCUCAACCCUGGAAGUGCAUUUGAUACUGCUGAGCUUGAGUGUCGGAGAGGUUACCGGAAUACCUGGUGUAGUGGUGAAAUACGUAGAUAUCAGGUGGAACACCGGAGGCGAAGGCGGGUAACUGGACGAACACUGACACUGAGGCCCGAAAGCGUGGGGAUCAAACAGGAUUAGAUACCCUAGUAGUCC
rnacentral:rRNA from 1 species